rnacentral:lncRNA from 1 species
AGAUUCACCUUGGAGCUAGAACAGGGACGUGCACAUGAUUAUACAGGGGCAGGGGCUCAAGUUUUUUCCAGUCAUUUAUACAAUAUGGAAAUUAAUGUGAAAUUAAACCACAAAUAUGUGUGAUGAACUGUUUUUAAAACUUAAACUUCAAAUAAAAAUUGUAAACUUCAAAACAUAUGCAAAUUUUUAACAAAGAACAUAGUUAUUUACCUCUAUUUACAUCAAAAUGCAGGCAAUGGCCCAGGCGUUCUUUGUAAAAUUAUUUACAAAACACUGUAUAGUCUCACAAAUGUCACUUUUUAUUUAUGCCACUACAAAAAAACAUGAUGUAAAUGAUGCAUGAUGUAAAACAUGAUGUAAAAAACUUGUGUAGAUCCUCCUCUAUGUCAGUCCAUGUGUAAUUUUUCCAUAAUUCUUUGUUUUUUGCAGCAUUUUUGUUAGUGUAACUGCAGAUUGUGCUGACAGUGUCUAUGGCACAAAAAAAAAAAAAAUUAAAAUGCCUCAACAUGAACCCCUGGUGGUCUCUGAGGGUGAAACCUGCUAACUGCUGCAGCUCUGUCAGCUUCAGUCUCCCAUGCAGAGCUCUGAGCGCAUGUGUGGCUCUGCACCCUUAGCAGCGUUGCUAACUCCUCAGUAAGGAAAGCCUGCUUCAUGUCAGAGUCUCUAAACUCCAGAAGAAGUCGAUAAAAGUCCCUUUCUUUCUAAAAAAAAGUCGUUAGGGGGUCUGAAAAGUCAUUGAAUCUAACAACAAAGUCGCUAGGUUUGCAACUACGUGUCCCAGACUGCAUCCCUGCUGAGAGUCCCUCCCUCGCUUCUCAUGUUGCAGGAAGAACGUAAGCGCCCGCCCCUUGUCAAUCAGUCACCAUAUAAUUUUGGAUUGGUUGUUGUGGUGAAGUUUUCCACCAAUAGGAGAGAUGUUGUGGUGUGUUUUUUUUUUCUUUUGGCAAGCCUUUUCCGCCUGUAAGACCUGUCGCUAAUGUCUGCAUGCUAUGUUUUCCUGUCUCAUACAGCGCGAUCGAGCGCCGAACGUGAUCAAAAUAAGCAGAAAAAAAGUAUCGCGGACAUAAUUUAUCAUAACUCUGGUUUUAUUUGGCCUAUCAACACAAUUUAAAAACUGGUAUAUAGGUUGAGGUCCUCACUUUUGAGAUAAGUUGAAACGGAGAGUCAACGAGGCUCCGUCUUGCAGCUACAUCCGGUUAAAUAUGUCAUGUGACUUGAACGCACACGCAGACACACACGCACACACACACACACACACACACACACUCAGAGUCUGGUUUUUAGCACCUGCAAAAACAUGCUAUUUACAUAUUUGACAAGAAUGCAGAGGCUCCUUUUGCCCCUGAAAAAAAUCAAAUUUCAAACACAACUUGACUGGUCAUUUCUCCAAAAGACAACCAUGAAGCUCCAUCCAAACCUGAAGCAGGCAGUUGGUGCAUGUGUACAGUAACCUGAGGGGAGUGAGGUGAGUGCUUCUGAGGAGAACAUGAGCAGUGAAGAUUCACCUUGGAGCUAGAACAGAGACAUGCACAUGAUUAUACAGGGGCAGGGGCUCAAGUUUUUUCCAGUCGUUUAUACAAUAUGGAAAUUAAUGUGAAAUUAAAACACAAAGUAUUAAUAGAAAGGUAAUGACUGUCCUGUGUAGGUGACAGUGAUAUCCAAUAGGCUAGGCACUCACGAGGCUGGCUGUGGCAAGUGUAAGUGAAAGCAACACGCACUGGCAGGAAGAACAGCAAACGCCGAUGAAGGAAAAGGGUCUUUGCAGUGAUGGGCGUUACCAGAGAGGGCGAUGGCCAGAGGACACAAAUGGGACGGGGAGGCGGUCGCGUUGGGGGGGGGGAAGCUCGGGCCCGCCAGUGCCCCAACGGGGUCCUAGUUAUUAUUUUUCCUCCCCUUUGAACUGGAAAAUGGCCCACUUCCCACUGGCGAAAACUCAGGAAAUUUGGCAGGACGACCGGGCCGGGUGAAAAAUUUGAUAUUCCGAAGUCGCCCAAACAAGAAAAUGCAAAAUGGCUCCAUAGCGCCCCCUAAGGUGAAAAUUCACACUAUUGACUGUCACGCCUGUACGCUUUGUCAAAAUGACACAAAAAUUGACACACACAUGUAUCUCAAUAAGAUCUACAAAAAAGUCAGUGCGGGCGUAUCUGUCAAAUGUACGGUUAAAGGGUUAUUUCGCAUUUUUUGCCGAUCCGCACACAUUGGAAUUUCGCUAACUCCUCCGAAGGCUUUCGUUCCACCGGCACCACAUUUGCUCAGGCCAAUCUACACCCCAUGGCCAUUAAAAGUUAUUCAAAUCAUGACGCUGCACCCCACGGUUUAGGUUCUAGGGGGCGCCAAAGAUAACCCUAAGAUCCACAUAUUUAAAAGUCUUAUAACUUUUUAUUUUUGCCCUCACUGGCCUCCAAGUUUUCUAGGAUGAUGCAAUGUCCAGCCAUCAAAACAUUUGUGAAGGAAUUUUUACUCCCCAAAAGAGCGCCCCCCCAUGGCAGGAGAAAAAAGUCCAUUUUUUCUUGUCCCCUAAGGUGAAAAUACACAUUGUUGAGUGUAACACCUGUACGCUUUGGCAAAAUGACACAAAAAUUGACACACACAUGUAUCUCAAUAAGAUCUACGAAAAAGUCAAUGCGCGCGUAUCUGUCAAAUGUACGGUUAAAGGGUUAUUCCGCAUUUUUUGCCGAUCCGCACACAUUGGAAUUUCGCUAACUCCUCCGAAGGCUUUCGUUCCACCGGCACCACAUUUGCUCAGGCCAAUCUACACCCCAUGGCCAUUAAAAGUUAUUCAAAUCAUGACGCUGCACCCCACGGUUUAGGUUCUAGGGGGCGCCAAAGAUAACCCUAAAAUCCACAUAUUUAAAAGUCUUAUAACUUUUUAUUUUUGUCCUCACUGGCCUCCAAGUUUUCUAGGAUGAUGCAAUGUCCAGCCAUCAACACAUUUGUGAAGGAAUUUUUACUCCCCAAAAGAGCGCCCCCCCAUGGCAGGAGAAAAAAGUCCAUUUUUUCUUGUCCCCUAAGGUGGAAAUUCACACUAUUGACUGUCACGCCUGUACGCUUUAUCAUAUUGACACAAAAAUUGACACACAUAUGUAUCUCAAUAAGAUCUACAAAAAAGUCAAUGCGCGCGUAUCUGUCAAAUGUACGGUUAAAGGGCUAUUUUGCAUUUUUUGCCGAUUCGCACACAUUGGAAUGUGGCUAACUCCUCCUAAGGCUUUCGUCCCACUGACACCAAAUUUGCUCAGGCCAAUCUACACCCCAUGGCCAUUCAAAGUUGUAAAAAUCAUGACGCUGCACCCCACGGUUUACGUUCUAGGGGGCGCCAAAGAUGACCCAAAAAUCCACAUUCUUAAAGGAAUCCACAUCCCCCCCCAAGGCAGGAGAAAAAGUCAAGUUAACCCUGCCCAUCGCUCAAUGGCUCAAUCGCAUCGCUCUCCAGGCAACACCGUAAGGAGGAGCAACCUGCCAUUUCGAUAUAUCAUAGCUGUGUUUGUGCCCUCACUCAUGGUCCAGACUUUUUUCAAAUAGGACAUGAAGUUUGUCUGCAGCGAGUGUUUUGGUAGAAACUGCGCCUCCCAUUCAUUAUAAUGGGAAAUGACCACAGACAAGUGCGCACACCAUCUUUGGACCUUGAGUGUGACGCGAUCGGGAGGGGGAGGCGGUCGCGCUAGGGGCGGCGCGACGCGGCUCGGGCCCGACAGUGCCCCACCGGGGCCCUAGUUUGUUAUUAUUAUUAGGGCCCGAGCGUAGCUGCUAAGCAGCUGCGAGAGCCCUCUUGUUCCUGUAGUUUCCUUCUUUUGUUAUUAUUAUUUUUCCUCCCCUUUGAACUGGAAAAUGGCCCACUUCCCACUGGCGAAAACUCAUGAAAUUUGGCAGGACGACCGGGCCUGGUGAAAAAUUUGAUAUUCCGAAGUCGCCCAAACAAGAAAAUGCAAAAUGGCUCCAUAGCGCCCCCUAAGGUGAAAAUUCACACUAUUGACUGUCACGCCUGUACGCUUUGUCAAAAUGACACAAAAAUUGACACACACAUGUAUCUCAAUAAGAUCUACAAAAAAGUCAGUGCGGGCGUAUCUGUCAAAUGUACGGUUAAAGGGUUAUUUCGCAUUUUUUGCCGAUCCGCACACAUUGGAAUUUCGCUAACUCCUCCGAAGGCUUUCGUUCCACCGGCACCACAUUUGCUCAGGCCAAUCUACACCCCAUGGCCAUUAAAAGUUAUUCAAAUCAUGACGCUGCACCCCACGGUUUAGGUUCUAGGGGGCGCCAAAGAUAACCCUAAAAUCCACAUAUUUAAAAGUCUUAUAACUUUUUAUUUUUGUCCUCACUGGCCUCCAAGUUUUCUAGGAUGAUGCAAUGUCCAGCCAUCAACACAUUUGUGAAGGAAUUUUUACUCCCCAAAAGAGCGCCCCCCCAUGGCAGGAGAAAAAAGUCAAUUUUUUCUUGUCCCCUAAGGUGGAAAUUCACACUAUUGACUGUCACGCCUGUACGCUUUAUCAUAUUGACACAAAAUUUGACAAUCACAUGUAUCUCAAUAAGAUCUACAAAAAAGUCAAUGCGCGCGUAUCUGUCAAAUGUACGGUUAAAGGGCUAUUUUGCAUUUUUUGCCGAUUCGCACACAUUGGAAUGUGGCUAACUCCUCCUAAGGCUUUCGUCCCACUGACACUAAAUUUGCUCAGGCCAAUCUACACCCCAUGGUCAUUCAAAGUUGUAAAAAUCAUGACGCUGCACCCCACGGUUUACGUUCUAGGGGGCGCCAAAGAUGACCCAAAUAUCCACAUUCUUAAAAGAAUCCACAUCCCCCCCCCCAUCCCCCAACCCCCAUGGCAGGAGAAACAGUCAAGUUUUUCCUGCCCAUCACUCAAUGGCUCAAUCGCAUCACUCUCCCGGCAACACCGUAACAAGGAGCAACUUGCCGUUUGGAUAUAUCCUAGCUGUGUUUGUGCCCUCACUCAUGGUCCAGACUUUUUUCAAAUAGGACAUGUAGUUUGUCUGCAGCGAGUGUUUUGGUAGAAACUGCGCCUCCCAUUCAUUAUAAUGGGAAAUGACCACAGACAAGUGCGCACACCAUCUUUGGACCUUGAGUGUGACGCGAUCGGGAGGGGGAGGCGGUCGCGCUGGGGGCGGCGCAACGCGGCUCGGGCCCGACAGUGCCCCACCGGGGCCCUAGUUAUUAUUUUUCCUCCCCUUUGAACUGGAAAAUGGCCCACUUCCCACUGGCGAAAACUCAUGAAAUUUGGCAGGACGACCGGGCCUGGUGAAAAAUUUGAUAUUCCAUAGUCGCCCAAACAAGAAAAUGCAAAAUGGCUCCAUAGCGCCCCCUAAGGUGAAAAUUCACACUAUUGACUGUCACGCCGGUACGCUUUGUCAAAAUGACACAAAAAUUGACACACACAUGUAUCUCAAUAAGAUCUACAAAAAAGUCAGUGCGGGCGUAUCUGUCAAAUGUACGGUUAAAGGGUUAUUUCGCAUUUUUUGCCGAUCCGCACACAUUGGAAUUUCGCUAACUCCUCCGAAGGCUUUCGUUCCACCGGCACCACAUUUGCUCAGGCCAAUCUACACCCUAUGGCCAUUAAAAGUUAUUCAAAUCAUGACGCUGCACCCCACGGUUUAGGUUCUAGGGGGCGCCAAAGAUAACCCUAAGAUCCACAUAUUUAAAAGUCUUAUAACUUUUUAUUUUUGCCCUCACUGGCCUCCAAGUUUUCUAGGAUGAUGCAAUGUCCAGCCAUCAACACAUUUGUGAAGGAAUUUUGACUCCCCAAAAGAGCGCCCCCCCAUGGCAGGAGAAAAAAGUCCAUUUUUUCUUGUCCCCUAAGGUGAAAAUACACAUUGUUGAGUGUAACACCUGUACGCUUUGGCAAAAUGACACAAAAAUUGACACACACAUGUAUCUCAAUAAGAUCUACAAAAAAGUCAGUGCGGGCGUAUCUGUAAAAUGUACGGUUAAAGGGUUAUUUCGCAUUUUUUGCCGAUCCGCACACAUUGGAAUUUCGCUAACUCCUCCGAAGGCUUUCGUUCCACCGGCACCACAUUUGCUCAGGCCAAUCUACACCCCAUGGCCAUUAAAAGUUAUUCAAAUCAUGACGCUGCACCCCACGGUUUAGGUUCUAGGGGGCGCCAAAGAUAACCGUAAAAUCCACAUAUUUAAAAGUCUUAUAACUUUUUAUUUUUGUCCCCACUGGCCUCCAAGUUUUCUAGGAUGAUGCAAUGUCCAGCCAUCAACACAUUUGUGAAGGAAUUUUUACUCGGCAAAAGAGCGCCCCCCCAUGGCAGGAGAAAAAAGUCAAUUUUUUCUUGUCCACUAAGGUGAAAAUACACAUUGUUGAGUGCUACGCCUGUAUGUUUUGUCGUAUUGACACAAAAUUUUACAUACACGUGUAUUUCAAUAAGAUCUUCGAAAAAGUCAAUGGCCACGUAUCUGUAAAAUGUACGGUUAAAGGGUUAUUUCGCAUUUUUUGCAGAUUCGCACACAUUGGAAUUUCGCUAAUUCCUCCGAAGGCUUUCGUUCCACCGGCACCACAUUUGCUCAGGCCGAUCUACACCCCAUGGCCAUUAAAAGUUAUUCAAAUCAUGACGCUGCACCCCACGGUUUAGGUUCUAGGGGGCGCCAAAUAUAACCCUAAAAUCCACAUAUUUAAAAGUCUUAUAACUUUUUAUUUUUGUCCUCACUGGCCUCCAUGUUUUCUAGGAUGAUGCAAUGUCCAGCCAUCAACACAUUUGUGAAGGAGUUUUUUCUCUUUAAAAGAGCGCCCCCCCAUGGCAGGAGAAUAAAGUCAAGUUUUUCCUGUUCAUCAUUCAAUGGCUCAAACGCACUGCUCUCUCGGCAAAAGCGAAAGGAGGAGCAACUUGCCAUUUGGAUAUAUCUUAGCUGUGUUUGUGCCCUCACUCAUGGUCCAGACUUUUUUCAAAUAGGACAUGGAGUUUUUCUGCAGCGAGCGUUUUGGUAGAAACUGCGCCUCCCGUUCAUUAUAAUGGUAAAUGACCACAAACAAGUGCGCACACCAUCUUUGGACCUUGAGUGUGACGCGAUCGGGUGGGGGAGGCGUGACACGGCUCGGGCCCGCCAGUGCCCCAACGGGGCCCUAGUUAGGGCCCGAGCGUAGCUGCUAAGCAGCUGCGAGAGCCCUAUUAUUCCCCAAGGGGUUUUUCUUUGUUUCUUUCUUUCUUUCUUUCUUCUUUUUCCUCCCCUUUGAACUGGAAAAUGGCCCACUUCCCACUGGCGAAAACUCAUGAAAUUUGGCAGGACGACCGGGCCUGGUGAAAAAUUUGAUAUUCCGAAGUCGCCCAAACAAGAAAAUGCAAAAUGGCUCCAUAGCGCCCCCUAAGGUGAAAAUUCACACUAUUGACUGUCACGCCUGUACGCUUUGUCAAAAUGACACAAAAAUUGACACACACAUGUAUCUCAAUAAGAUCUACAAAAAAGUCAGUGCGGGCGUAUCUGUCAAAUGUACGGUUAAAGGGUUAUUUCGCAUUUUUUGCCGAUCCGCACACAUUGGAAUUUCGCUAACUCCUCCGAAGGCUUUCGUUCCACCGGCACCACAUUUGCUCAGGCCAAUCUACACCCCAUGGCCAUUAAAAGUUAUUCAAAUCAUGACGCUGCACCCCACGGUUUAGGUUCUAGGGGGCGCCAAAGAUAACCCUAAAAUCCACAUUUUUAAAAGUCUUAUAACUUUUUAUUUUUGCCCUCACUGGCCUCCAAGUUUUCUAGGAUGAUGCAAUGUCCAGCCAUCAACACAUUUGUGAAGGAAUUUUUACUCCCCAAAAGAGUUCCCCCCCAUGGCAGGAGAAAAAAGUCCAUUUUUUCUUGUCCCCUUAAGUGAAAAUACACAUUGUUGAGUGUCACGCCUGUACGCUUUGUCAAAAUGACACAAAAAUUGACACACACAUGUAUCUCAAUAAGAUCUACAAAAAAGUCAAUGCGCGCGUAUCUGUAAAAUGUACAGUUAAAGGGUUAUUCCGCAUUUUUUGCCGAUUCGCACACAUUGGAAUUUCGCUAACUCCUCCGAAGGCUUUCGUUCCACCGGCACCACAUUUGCUCAGGCCAAAUUACACCCCAUGGCCAUUAAAAGUUAUUCAAAUCAUGACGCUGCACCCUACGGUUUACGUUCUAGGGGGCGCCAAAGAUAACCCAAAAAUCCACAUUUUUAAAAGUCUUAUAACUUUUUAUUUUUGCCCUCACUGGCCUCCAAGUUUUCUAGGAUGAUGCAAUGUCCAGCCAUCAACACAUUUGUGAAGGAAUUUUUACUUCCUAAAAGAGCGCCCCCCCCAUGGCAGGAGAAAAAAGUCCAUUUUUUCUUGUCCCCUAAGGUGAAAAUACACAUUGUUGACUGUCACGCCUGUACGCUUUGGCAAAAUGACACAAAAAUUGACAAUCAUGUGUAUCUCAAUUAGAUCUACGAAAAAGUCAAAGAGCGCGUAUCUGUAUAAUGUACGGCAAAAGGGCUAUUUUGCAUUUUUUGCCGAUUCGCACACAUUGGAAUUUCGCUAACUCCUC